UUUGAUCAUUUUUAUUCAGGCUUGUUUUGGCCGGAGGUUUCAGGUUCUUAGUCUCAAAUCAGCAGUCUCUCCCUUCCUCUCUCUCUUUCUCUCUCUCUCCCUCCCUCUCUCUCUCUCUCUCUCACACACACACCCACUCUCUCCCUCUCCCUUACUCUCUCACUCUCUCUCUCAUUCCCCCUCAUAGGUUGCAUGCGAGCAGAUGAAUUCCACAGCUGGAACUGAGGCACAGAGCAAUAAACACAGUGGAGCCCAUCUCUGCCGUGGUGAGAGGGGGCAUCAGAAGUGACAACAAUGACAAGGACCCAAGGACCGUCCUUCUGACAAGUUUCAGAUUCUUGGGCUGAUGGAGUAAGUGAGUGACGGAGUGGGUUGCCAACUGUAGUUACUCCACUCAAUGCGGAAUGGCUGCAGGGAAUAUAUUCUGAUGUGCCCAAAGAAGUCUGCCCAGGGUGAAACAAAUACCUUUGAGGUUUAAAUCAGAAAACAUAAACACAUUUCCCUUAUAGGAAGAAGUUGUAUUUAAAAGCCUCUGUUUAAUUUAUUCAGAAACUACACGAUUUUUGUUGCUAUAUUUUGUUAUAAAGGAAGAGAGGCUGUUUCUACAGGUGUCAUAGAAAAGUCGAUGCUGAGCCAUGGAUUAUUGGAUCUCAUAGAACCACGGAGACUUGGCAGUAAAAUCCUUCCAAAGGCAGACGGUGUUCCUAGGUUUGGAAACGUACCUCCCAGGGGAAGUGAGCUGAGGAACAUUUUAUGCAUCAUUCAUCCGGUUAUGAGCCCUUGCUGCUCCAUCUCUGCACAAGAUGUUGAAACAACAGCAACAACAAAAAUUGUUUAUAAUGUGUAUUCUAACUUUGGAUCAUCUGGUUAACGCCCUGAUGCUAUUACCCAGAAAGACAAUGCUCUGUCAGAAAAAACCAUUAAAGCUCGCUGCUGCGUGAUUAGUAAAAUAAUAGGGAAAGUUCAGCAUUCUGGAUGUCCCAUCUAAUGAGGUAAGAUUUUAUCAUGUCCCUUAAAUUGAGAUUACAUUUCAUUUUAUUUGUUAUUAUCCCAGCCUAAAGAAAGUUUUGCGUUUCAAUUUGACACGAAUCCAUGAUAUAAAGCUUUGUAUUCAUUGUCUCAUCUGUGACCAGUUUGAGGCAUUUAAAGC
rnacentral:lncRNA from 1 species